CAUCCGUGGUGUGAUUUGGUCGCGAUCAGCGAUGGAGAAACUGGCGUCGGUCUAGCUUACUAAGUUGAAAACGCAAUUGUUGAUCACAGAUUUCGACAGAAAUUCAAAGGAUCUGAGAGAAUUGAUGGUGGAUAUGAUGGGUCAAGUUAACGUUAAGCUCUUAGUCAGGUUUUUGGAAAGAAACAACGGUAUGUUCAUCGUUAGGACUCGCGGUUGUAGCCAUGCAGGAGACGAUUCAAGACAGUAGGAUAGAUUUAGAGCAAGUGCAGGAUUUUAAUGAAGACUCGCACCGGUACCCUGACAUGAACAUGUAAAUUUUUCGAGCCUCGAAACCAGCCUCGCUUAUAAUCAUGCCGAGUCAUAGCCGUGAUGGAAGUUGCCAGGAAACAACAGGUUAACUUAUCAUCAUGAAGUAAAUACAUGUAGGCUUAUAACUUUGCCUACAUGUUCAUAGAACUUUAUUUUAUAAAUUCGCCAUGCAGAAGUUGCAGACGUAUUUAAAACUGUAUAAAAUGAAACAACAGAACGAUAUACAUGUAUGUUUAAUGUUUCUCUUUUAAAAAUUUAUGAAAUUCUUGUUUGUUUACAAAAUAAACUAUAAAUAUCCU